GGGUUGUGAGGUUAAGCGACUAAGCGUACACGGUGGAUGCCCUGGCAGUCAGAGGCGAUGAAGGACGUGCUAAUCUGCGAUAAGCGUCGGUAAGGUGAUAUGAACCGUUAUAACCGGCGAUUUCCGAAUGGGGAAACCCAGUGUGAUUCGUCACACUAUCAUUAACUGAAUCCAUAGGUUAAUGAGGCGAACCGGGGGAACUGAAACAUCUAAGUACCCCGAGGAAAAGAAAUCAACCGAGAUUCCCCCAGUAGCGGCGAGCGAACGGGGAGCAGCCCAGAGCCUGAAUCAGUGUGUGUGUUAGUGGAAGCGUCUGGAAAGGCGCGCGAUACAGGGUGACAGCCCCGUACACAAAAAUACACAUAUUGUGAGCUCGAUGAGUAGGGCGGGACACGUGGUAUCCUGUCUGAAUAUGGGGGGACCAUCCUCCAAGGCUAAAUACUCCUGACUGACCGAUAGUGAACCAGUACCGUGAGGGAAAGGCGAAAAGAACCCCGGCGAGGGGAGUGAAAAAGAACCUGAAACCGUGUACGUACAAGCAGUGGGAGCACGCUUAGGCGUGUGACUGCGUACCUUUUGUAUAAUGGGUCAGCGACUUAUAUUCUGUAGCAAGGUUAACCGAAUAGGGGAGCCGAAGGGAAACCGAGUCUUAACUGGGCGUUAAGUUGCAGGGUAUAGACCCGAAACCCGGUGAUCUAGCCAUGGGCAGGUUGAAGGUUGGGUAACACUAACUGGAGGACCGAACCGACUAAUGUUGAAAAAUUAGCGGAUGACUUGUGGCUGGGGGUGAAAGGCCAAUCAAACCGGGAGAUAGCUGGUUCUCCCCGAAAGCUAUUUAGGUAGCGCCUCGUGAACUCAUCUCCGGGGGUAGAGCACUGUUUCGGCAAGGGGGUCAUCCCGACUUACCAACCCGAUGCAAACUGCGAAUACCGGAGAAUGUUAUCACGGGAGACACACGGCGGGUGCUAACGUCCGUCGUGAAGAGGGAAACAACCCAGACCGCCAGCUAAGGUCCCAAAGUCAUGGUUAAGUGGGAAACGAUGUGGGAAGGCCCAGACAGCCAGGAUGUUGGCUUAGAAGCAGCCAUCAUUUAAAGAAAGCGUAAUAGCUCACUGGUCGAGUCGGCCUGCGCGGAAGAUGUAACGGGGCUAAACCAUGCACCGAAGCUGCGGCAGCGACGCUUAUGCGUUGUUGGGUAGGGGAGCGUUCUGUAAGCCUGCGAAGGUGUGCUGUGAGGCAUGCUGGAGGUAUCAGAAGUGCGAAUGCUGACAUAAGUAACGAUAAAGCGGGUGAAAAGCCCGCUCGCCGGAAGACCAAGGGUUCCUGUCCAACGUUAAUCGGGGCAGGGUGAGUCGACCCCUAAGGCGAGGCCGAAAGGCGUAGUCGAUGGGAAACAGGUUAAUAUUCCUGUACUUGGUGUUACUGCGAAGGGGGGACGGAGAAGGCUAUGUUGGCCGGGCGACGGUUGUCCCGGUUUAAGCGUGUAGGCUGGUUUUCCAGGCAAAUCCGGAAAAUCAAGGCUGAGGCGUGAUGACGAGGCACUACGGUGCUGAAGCAACAAAUGCCCUGCUUCCAGGAAAAGCCUCUAAGCAUCAGGUAACAUCAAAUCGUACCCCAAACCGACACAGGUGGUCAGGUAGAGAAUACCAAGGCGCUUGAGAGAACUCGGGUGAAGGAACUAGGCAAAAUGGUGCCGUAACUUCGGGAGAAGGCACGCUGAUAUGUAGGUGAAGCGACUUGCUCGUGGAGCUGAAAUCAGUCGAAGAUACCAGCUGGCUGCAACUGUUUAUUAAAAACACAGCACUGUGCAAACACGAAAGUGGACGUAUACGGUGUGACGCCUGCCCGGUGCCGGAAGGUUAAUUGAUGGGGUCAGCGCAAGCGAAGCUCUUGAUCGAAGCCCCGGUAAACGGCGGCCGUAACUAUAACGGUCCUAAGGUAGCGAAAUUCCUUGUCGGGUAAGUUCCGACCUGCACGAAUGGCGUAAUGAUGGCCAGGCUGUCUCCACCCGAGACUCAGUGAAAUUGAACUCGCUGUGAAGAUGCAGUGUACCCGCGGCAAGACGGAAAGACCCCGUGAACCUUUACUAUAGCUUGACACUGAACAUUGAGCCUUGAUGUGUAGGAUAGGUGGGAGGCUUUGAAGUGUGGACGCCAGUCUGCAUGGAGCCGACCUUGAAAUACCACCCUUUAAUGUUUGAUGUUCUAACGUUGACCCGUAAUCCGGGUUGCGGACAGUGUCUGGUGGGUAGUUUGACUGGGGCGGUCUCCUCCUAAAGAGUAACGGAGGAGCACGAAGGUUGGCUAAUCCUGGUCGGACAUCAGGAGGUUAGUGCAAUGGCAUAAGCCAGCUUGACUGCGAGCGUGACGGCGCGAGCAGGUGCGAAAGCAGGUCAUAGUGAUCCGGUGGUUCUGAAUGGAAGGGCCAUCGCUCAACGGAUAAAAGGUACUCCGGGGAUAACAGGCUGAUACCGCCCAAGAGUUCAUAUCGACGGCGGUGUUUGGCACCUCGAUGUCGGCUCAUCACAUCCUGGGGCUGAAGUAGGUCCCAAGGGUAUGGCUGUUCGCCAUUUAAAGUGGUACGCGAGCUGGGUUUAGAACGUCGUGAGACAGUUCGGUCCCUAUCUGCCGUGGGCGCUGGAGAACUGAGGGGGGCUGCUCCUAGUACGAGAGGACCGGAGUGGACGCAUCACUGGUGUUCGGGUUGUCAUGCCAAUGGCACUGCCCGGUAGCUAAAUGCGGAAGAGAUAAGUGCUGAAAGCAUCUAAGCACGAAACUUGCCCCGAGAUGAGUUCUCCCUGACCCUUUAAGGGUCCUGAAGGAACGUUGAAGACGACGACGUUGAUAGGCCGGGUGUGUAAGCGCAGCGAUGCGUUGAGCUAACCGGUACUAAUGAACCGUGAGGCUUAACCUUACAACGCCGAAG
rnacentral:rRNA from 1 species